rnacentral:rRNA from 1 species
GAACGAACGCUGGCGGCGCGUCUUAAGCAUGCAAGUCGAACGGCAAGGAAGUGCUUGCACUUCCCUAGAGUGGCGGACUGGUGAGUAACACGUGGGUGACAUACCUUUUAGUUGGGGAUAGCUAUUAGAAAUAGUAGAUAAUACCGAAUAUGACCAUUACAGUUAGAGUGUGAUGAGGAAAGGAGCUAAGGCUCCGCUAGAAGAUUGGCCCGCGGCCCAUUAGCUAGUUGGUGAGGUAACGGCUCACCAAGGCGAUGAUGGGUAUCCGGCCUGAGAGGGUGAUCGGACACAUUGGGACUGAGAUACGGCCCAGACUCCUACGGGAGGCAGCAGUGGGGAAUAUUGGGCAAUGGGCGAAAGCCUGACCCNNCGACGCCGCGUGGGUGAUGAAGGCCUUCGGGUUGUAAAACCCUUUCGUGCGGAAAGAAUAGUCCUGUAGCGAAUAACUACGGGAUUUGACGGUACCGCAGGAAGAAGCACCGGCUAACUCCGUGCCAGCAGCCGCGGUAAUACGGAGGGUGCAAGCGUUGUUCGGAAUUAUUGGGCGUAAAGGGCGCGUAGGUGGUUGUGAUAGUCAGAUGUGAAAUCCUUCGGCUCAACCGAAGAACUGCAUCUGAAACUUCAUAGCUCGAGUACAGGAGAGGGAAACGGAAUUCCCGGUGUAGAGGUGAAAUUCGUAGAUAUCGGGAGGAACACCAGUGGCGAAGGCGGUUUCCUGGCCUGAUACUGACGCUGAGGCGCGAAAGCGUGGGGAGCAAACAGGAUUAGAUACCCUGGUAGUCCACGCGGUAAACGGUGAACACUAGGUGUGGGAGGUGUAAUACCUUCUGUGCCGAAGCUAACGCGUUAAGUGUUCCGCCUGGGAAGUACGGCCGCAAGGUUGAAACUCAAAGGGAUUGACGGGGGCCCGCACAAGCGGUGGAGCAUGUGGUUUAAUUCGACGCAACGCGAAAAACCUUACCUGGGCUUGACAUGCCGAGAAUCCGGUGGAAACAUUGGAGUGCCCCGUAAGGGGAGCUUGGACACAGGUGCUGCAUGGCUGUCGUCAGCUCGUGCCGUGAGGUGUUGGGUUAAGUCCCGCAACGAGCGCAACCCUCAUCCUUAGUUGCCAUCAUUGAGUUGGGCACCCUAAGGAAACUGCCGCAGUUAAUGCGGAGGAAGGUGGGGAUGACGUCAAGUCCUCAUGGCCCUUAUACCCAGGGCUACACACGUGCUACAAUGGACGGUACAAAGGGUUGCAAACCUGCGAAGGGGAGCUAAUCCCACAAAGCCGUUCUCAGUUCGGAUUGGAGUCUGCAACCCGACUCCAUGAAGCUGGAAUCGCUAGUAAUCGCGGAUCAGCAUGCCGCGGUGAAUACGUUCCCGGGCCU